AAACAUCUAUCUCAGAAAACUGGGCUUUAGGCUUGUGUGUUAGGUGUCAUACAUACAAGAAUAGCCUGUGCAAUCCACACAGGCUAAUUAGGGACGCCACUUUCCCCUUUAAUGGAAUUUUUGGUUUAUAGGAAGUCUUUCUUAACAAAAAUCCAGUUAAGGUGGAAAUUGUUGUCCCUUAUUAUCUCAGACCACACCGAACCCUCAUGCAAUAAGCCCAGUUUUCUCAGAACAAGGCUUUUAUUGAACAGGUUCGGAAGAAGAAGCCUUGCCACACUGACCAUGUUGAUGGGGCCGUCAGUGAAGAUGAGCUCAACACCACCACCCUGUUCACAGUGAACGAGAACGCCAGGUUUGCACGCGAUGAUAGCUUGCAGUACACAUACUUUAGGGCUCUGCCUCUCACGCCUAAUACCCUCAGGAAGACCUCUAUGGCCUCCAGUCCGGAUGAUGACACCCUCUUGUUGAUGAUUGCAUUCCGGCGCCAGCUCCGUGUACCGCCCUCGGACCUUUCAAACCUGCGCGGCAGCCAUGAGAGCGUGUCCUUCGCGCCUUACACUGCACGCAUGCGUUCCACAGAAACCGUGGUGACCACCGAGCGACUGCUCCCACCGCUCAAGGAAGAGAAGAGUUCAACAUGCUCACAGAAAUAUUCUAAAAUUAAGUCAUGGCAAGUGACCCUACAGAGAACCGUGUCUUCAAAUAAAUGAUGUUCAUGUUUUUAGAGAGUAUAGCAUUGUACUUCAAAAAGAUUUAGUAUAUUGUAACCUAAAGAAGAAAUAAAUUUUCAUUAAAAUGUG